rnacentral:piRNA from 1 species
AACAGCCAAGAUCGUUACUAAGA